rnacentral:rRNA from 1 species
CUCGCUAUUGGCGAUACACUGUCAGUGGCUAAGCGAAAGUGAUAAGUAAUCCACCUGGGGAGUACGAUCGCAAGGUUGAAACUCAAAGGAAUUGACGGGGGCCCGCACAAGCGGUGGAGCAUGUGGUUUAAUUCGAUGAUACGCGAGGAACCUUACCAGGUCUUAAAUGCAUAACGAACAGUUGGGAAACCAACCUUUCUUCGGACGGAAUGCAAGGUGCUGCAUGGUUGUCGUCAGCUCGUGCUGUGAGGUGUCAGGUUAAGUCCUAUAACGAGCGCAACCCCUAUUCUUAGUUGCCAGCGGUUCGGCCGGGGACUCUAAGAAAACUGCCAGUGCAAGCUGUGAGGAAGGUGGGGAUGACGUCAAAUCAUCACGGCCCUUACGACCUGGGCCACACACGUGCUACAAUGGUAGGUACAAAGAGCAGCCACUUGGCGACAAGGAGCUAAUCUCAAAAACCUAUCUCAGUUCGGAUUGGAGUCUGAAACUCGACUCUAUGAAGCUGGAAUCGCUAGUAAUCGCGCAUCAGCCAUGGCGCGGUGAAUACGUUCCCGGGCCUUGUACACACCGCCCGUCAAGCCAUGGAAGCUGGGAGUACCUGAAGUCGGUAACCAUAUAGGAGCUGCCUAGGGUAAAACUAGUAACUGGGGCU